AUUGAACGCUGGCGGCAGGCUUAACACAUGCAAGUCGAACGAGUGGCGAACGGGUGAGUAACGUAUCGGAACCUACCUAGUAGAGGGGGAUAACUACUGGAAACGAUAGCUAAUACCGCAUACCAUUCGAUCUGCCCAUAUGUGAUUAGCUGGUGGGUGGGGUAAAGGCUCACCAAGGCGACGAUCAGUAGCGGGUCUGAGAGGAUGACCCGCCACACUGGGACUGAGACACGGCCCAGACUCCUACGGGAGGCAGCAGUGGGGAAUUUUGGACAAUGGGCGCAAGCCUGAUCCAGCCAUGCCGCGUGUCUGAAGAAGGCCUUCGGGUUGUAAAGCACUUUCGUCAGGGAAGCGGUACCUGAAGAAGAAGCACCGGCUAACUACGUGCCAGCAGCCGCGGUAAUAC
rnacentral:rRNA from 1 species